GACGAACGCUGGCGGCGUGCUUAACACAUGCAAGUCGAGCGGUAAGGCCCUUUCGGGGGUACACGAGCGGCGAACGGGUGAGUAACACGUGGGUGACCUGCCUUUAGCUCUGGGAUAAGCCUGGGAAACUGGGUCUAAUACCGGAUAUGACUCCAUGAUGCAUGUUGUGGGGUGGAAAGCCUUGUGCGGCUGGAGAUGGGCCCGCGGCCUAUCAGCUUGUUGGUGGGGUGAUGGCCUACCAAGGCGACGACGGGUAGCCGGCCUGAGAGGGCGACCGGCCACACUGGGACUGAGACACGGCCCAGACUCCUACGGGAGGCAGCAGUGGGGAAUCUUGCGCAAUGGGCGAAAGCCUGACGCAGCGACGCCGCGUGAGGGAUGACGGCCU
rnacentral:rRNA from 1 species